CUGCCGAGUGCCCCCGGGUCUGCCGGAACCGUGCGGGCCCUUUAAGGGCUGGGGGCGUGUAGCAGACCCGCCCCCUCCCCGCAGCGCCGGCCGUGAGUUAAAUGCGACCCCAGGCAGAGAGUGCCGGAGCUGGCUUCGGGCUUGUGUCCCAGCAAGCACGGGGCGCGUCCCCUACACGCGGAAGCCAGCGCGCCAUGUAUACCCUCACCAAGGGGCCCAGCAAGCUGGUCGCGCAGCGUCGCACAGGUCCCACACAGCAGCAGGUAGAGAGCAGGCUUGGCGAGCUUCUGAAAUGCCGGCAACCCACGCCGCCCACCGCGCCACCCCCGCAGGAGCAGCCUUUCGCGCAGCCGCCGGGACCCUGGCCCCUGUCGAGUGCCCCUCUCACCUGAGGAGGAACCCAGAGCGGCGGUGGGGCACCUGAGCCCAGGAAGGCGAGCAGGCCGGCCGGGACCGCGAGUGCCUGGUGGAGUGGCAGGCGCAGCCCAGGACUCCCGGCUCCCACCUCCUGCUGUAGUCCGGGGCCAAGGCUUGUGUUCAAUCGUGUGAAUGGCCGGCGGCCCCCUGCCGCGUCCCCAUCUCUUGAGGGGACCCAGGAGACCUACACACUGGCCCACGAGGAGAACGUCCGCUUUGUGUCCGAAGCCUGGCAGCAGGUGAAACAGCAGCUGGAUGGUGGCCCAGGCGGUGAGAAUGGGCCGAGGCCUGUGCAGUACGUGGAGAGGACCCCUAAUCCCCGGCUACAGAACUUUGUGCCUAUCGACCUGGAUGAGUGGUGGGCGCAGCAGUUCCUGGCUAGAAUCACCAAUUGUUCAUAGUGGCUGCCUGGGAAGGAAUGCUGCCUCGGUGGAUCCUUUACCAGAAGAGGACCUUGGUGCCCCAUCCACCUACUGCAGCCUGGCUGGGUGCCAGCCACACCUGAAGUGCCAGCACUUAGACUUUUGUACCUGUGGUCUCCUUGGCCUAGCUUUCCCAAGCUGCCAGGGGCCAGGAGUCUAGCCUGUCUGACCUCAACCCUGCUAACUGUGCCUGGGGAUUUGCCCCUGGGGCUGGCAGGGAGGAGCUCCAGUCUAAUAAAGUUGAGAAACUGCCCUU